rnacentral:lncRNA from 1 species
UCUUUAUUAAAAGUAAAAAUGGGAUAUGUUUUAUUUUGAUAAUCUCAAAACAUUAUAGUUCUAUCGAAAUAACUUAUAACCAAGUUCACAAACACCAAUGUGUUUGAUAUUAAUUUUAAGACAUGUAUAAAUGUUCCAGACCAUAUCAGUAUUUUGACCGCAUGUUAAAGGUCCGGAACAUAUAAGUAUACUCUUACAGUCUGACCAUAUGCAUACAGUCAGACCAUUUGAGUAUACUUGUACUGUCUAGUACCAGCUCAAAGAAACAUGUGUUUUUAUUUCAACUGCAAUUAAACUUUUUGUAUUAAUCUAUUAAAGAUUUCAGUUAUAUUGAUCUGUAAUGUACAUUUGUUUCUAAUAA